CCCCCUGCCUGAGGUCACAUAGUGGCCAGCAGGCCAGAUGUGGCUUACCCGUGGAUUCUAGAGAAGAAAGUAGAUGGGAGCAAGUGUCCAAUACAGCAACAGCUGGAAAGAAAAAUAAAGAAUCUUGUUCUUUACCUAAAACACUUCAGUUAACUAAGUGUGAGUUUAAAAACUAAAGAUUGAGAACUUUAUCAGAGUUAAUAAGAAUGAGAAAUAUGUAUGUACAUUUACAAUACAAAAUUACUAUUUAAUAAUUUACACAUGGCAUUAAUU
rnacentral:lncRNA from 1 species